rnacentral:lncRNA from 1 species
GCUGGCAGAAGUGCAUCUCACCCUCUAAAGGUCAGGCGCAUUCUGGGAGCACUGUCCUUGGCAGACAUCAGUAGAAAACAGCCCAGAAACAGAAGUGUAGAUAAGAGAUGUGUCCCAGGGCUGACGCAAUACAAAUUUCAAGGCUGUGGAACCAGGAGAAGGUCUGAGGAACGGAGCUCCCGGAAGUAAAGGCAUUGCCUCACAUUUGAGUCAUGACUUCAGGAUUUGUGGUCAGAAGCACGAGGUGGAGAAGUCCUGAUACAAUCUUUGUACUGUACGGUUGCCGUCUGGACUUCAUUGACUAUCCCGGAGCGAUCCAGCACAAGUGACAAGUGAAGACCUUGGCUGUGUUUCAGAAGCACAAUUACAACUCUUGGGGUAAAGAGCCUCAGCGACAAGGCCCAGGAAAGCAGGUGUAUUGAGAAUUAGAGGUUGGAAGGGCCUUGAGAGCAGAGGUCUGUUGUUUAACAUCAUCUUCGAGUGUACCCUAGCACGGCGGUCUCGGCUGGAGAGAUUUUCUGUGUGCUGAACUUAGAUGGAUAUGUCAAAGUGUACUCAAGCUUUCUUGAACUUUUUCCCCAUCUGAAAUCACUAAAAAUGUGCAGUAUUUCAAAAAGCCCAAGUUUGCCUCCAAAUAUGCUUGUGAAAUGUAUUUCAACACACAUAUCCAACAGUAAGAACAUGCUGGCCAUAUCAAUCCUCACAGCAACUCUUUAUUGCAGCAUAUUGAGGUUUAAUCAGGAAACAGGUUAGAGCUUCUAUGUACAGGUUUUCUUCUAGUUUGAGGUUUUCCUGAAAUAUGUGACACAGACUCGUUAUACAAAUGGCCACUAGUAAAUUAUUUCCAGCAUGUGUUACUCUGUCAACAGUGAUGCUUUCACAGAACCUUUGUCCUCCACAAUUCCCCCCCUCCAUUUAAACCAGGACAUUUCCAUCUCAGUGAGCCACUGCUGUAUUUGGGACCUAAGCGAGAAGCUGGAUAAACAGAGGCGCUAUUAUUAUUGUUACUGUCAAUAUAGUUUCCUUCCCUAGUUAUAACUGAUUAUUUCCUUUUUUCCAUUUCAAAACAUUUUUGUUCAAAUGCUUCUGAUGGCUCUCGUCACAAGCAAUAUUCCUUCGGAAAUAAUGCACCUUUUUAAUUUCUCAACCUAAAAUACACAGCCCGUCAUCUCCAUAGUAGGAUGAUGCUGUUAGAGAGAUCAGCUGUGUCUAGUUGGAGAAUUUUUAGGGGAAUAAGGGAUUACAGGAGCGAGUGCUUCCUCUAUUAGUUCGUGCAAAGUGAAGACAAGAAAGAAAGUCUGUAGGAUGUAAGAGGUGAUGUUACUCCAGCAAGAGUUGGGCAUUUGGAAACACAUGGAGUUAAAAGCAGUUUUCACUUAAUGUGCUUUGUUGUUUCUGCUACAAUAAAAAUAAAUAAUAAAAAUUC